UUUUGCCUUCUCUCCUCCUAGUAUAUGUACAUGUACAUCUAACUUUUGCUCUUUCUCUUUUCUUCCUAUAUAGGAUUCUCCUAUCUCUUAUGUUCUUUGUCUUCUUGUGUAUAAUACAGUUUCUUACUGAUACUAUAAGCUUGUGUUAACACAUACGCAUUGCGUGUCAAGAAUCAAGAUUCCAUUUCCGGCAAAAGAUGUGGGAGCAGAACUAUCCUAACAACAUGAUGGAGAAUGGAAUUAAGACGAAAUGCUAAGAAUAUUCAGAGCAUGUCCAAUUUGAACAAUGCCGUUAACUACUCAUAAUCAAUAAACAUUUGUUCCAUGGACAUUAACUUAUUACUUAGAGAAAAGGAUGUGUUGAGAUUAAUAUGCACUAAUGCAAUGUGUCACCAUUUUCUUGAUGCAUCAAGCUUAGGAGAUACUGAGGUCAUCAAUGAGUCUUGCAUUCAAGCUUGCUGUCUUUCAAAAUUAGGACACUGUACAUAAACUUGCAUUUUUGUGUUCUUUUUAUAAUGUUGUAAUUGUUUUUGUUACCUAAAAUAAUUAUUCUUUAAUACUAUAAUGCAAUAGCAGUCCAUGAACUGAUGCCACAA
rnacentral:lncRNA from 1 species